GCAUUUUUGAUGAGUCCCAAACAGGACGAAACAGCUGUCCAGUUC
rfam:Echinostoma caproni strain Egypt genome assembly, scaffold: ECPE_scaffold0002748